rnacentral:rRNA from 1 species
GAUGAACGCUGGCGGCGUGCUUAACACAUGCAAGUCGAGCGAAGCGGCUGAAUUGAUUCUUCGGAUGAUUUUCAGUUGACUGAGCGGCGGACGGGUGAGUAACGCGUGGGUGACCUGCCCCAUACCGGGGGAUAACAGCUGGAAACGGCUGCUAAUACCGCAUAAGCGCACAGAGCUGCAUGGCUCGGUGUGAAAAACUCCGGUGGUAUGGGAUGGGCCCGCGUCUGAUUAGGCAGUUGGCGGGGUAACGGCCCACCAAACCGACGAUCAGUAGCCGGCCUGAGAGGGCGACCAGCCACACUGGGACUGAGACACGGCCCAGACUCCUACGGGAGGCAGCAGUGGGGAAUCUUAGACAAUGGGGGAAACCCUGAUCUAGCCAUGCCGCGUGAUCGAUGAAGGCCUUAGGGUUGUAAAGAUCUUCCAGUGGGGAAGAUAAUGACUGUACCCACAGAAGAAGCCCCGGCUAACUCCGUGCCAGCAGCCGCAGUAA